UGAACAAAGGGAGAUUAAAGGACUCCUUUGU
rnacentral:piRNA from 1 species